rnacentral:rRNA from 1 species
AUUGAACGCUGGCGGCAUGCCUUACACAUGCAAGUCGAACGGCAGCACGGGAGCAAUCCUGGUGGCGAGUGGCGAACGGGUGAGUAAUAUAUCGGAACGUGCCCAGUCGUGGGGGAUAACGCAGCGAAAGCUGUGCUAAUACCGCAUACGAUCUAUGGAUGAAAGCGGGGGAUCGCAAGACCUCGCGCGAUUGGAGCGGCCGAUAUCAGAUUAGCUAGUUGGUGGGGUAAAAGCCCACCAAGGCGACGAUCUGUAGCUGGUCUGAGAGGACGACCAGCCACACUGGAACUGAGACACGGUCCAGACUCCUACGGGAGGCAGCAGUGGGGAAUUUUGGACAAUGGGCGAAAGCCUGAUCCAGCCAUGCCGCGUGCGGAGAAGGCCU